rnacentral:rRNA from 1 species
AGGUCACCGCUAUCGGGGUUCGAUUAAGCCAUGCGAGUCGAGAGGGUUCGGCCCUCGGCGUACUGCUCAGUAACACGUGGAUAACCUGCCCUAAGGAAGGGGAUAACCCCGGGAAACUGGGGAUAAUACCCUAUAGGUUACAGAUGCUGGAAUGCUCUGUAACUCAAAGUUCCGGCGCCUUAGGAUGGAUCUGCGGCCGAUUAGGUUGUUGUUGGGGUAAUGGCCCAACAAGCCCGUAAUCGGUACGGGUUGUGGGAGCAAGAGCCCGGAGUUGGAUUCUGAGACACGAAUCCAGGCCCUACGGGGCGCAGCAGGCGCGAAAACUUUACAAUGCGGGCAACCGUGAUAAGGGAACCUCGAGUGCCUGUAUAUGCAGGCUGUCCAGGUGUCUAAAUAACACCUGAAGAAAGGGCCGGGCAAGACCGGUGCCAGCCGCCGCGGUAAUACCGGCGGCUCGAGUGGUGGCCGCUUUUAUUGGGCUUAAAGCGUUCGUAGCUGGGUUAUUAAGUCUCUUGGGAAAUCCGGCGGNUCAACCGUCGGGCGUCUAAGGGAUACUGGUAAUCUUGGAA